GGAAAAGAGUGAUUGCUUUCCACUUGACAAAUGAGUUUAAACUGAGACCCAGAGAGGCCAAGCGUUACCCACAGCUGGUCUCUACAUGCUUUACUUCAUUUUGUCCUCACCUGAGGUGCUUGGUUCCACGCCCCACCACUUUGAAGAAGAGGAAACCGAGGCCCAGGGAAAAGAAAAAGGGACUUUCCCAAGAUCACACAGGCAGGAUGCAGAAAAGUUGGCAUUCCUGUGCUGAUUCCGAGAUGGAUUCCUUUCCUGGGCCGAGCAUCCUCCAGAUUGUAGCAGAAGCCAAAAAGAGGCCCUCAAGUUUCAAAGACCCUGAGAUAAGCCCAGACCAAGAGAAUGCAUGAGAGAAGAGCCAGAAGAAGGUCACGGUCACAGAAGGUAGCAAGUAUUCUUGACUGGAAUGAGA